AUCUCAACUGUUUAGAAGAGAUGCAUUUAUUAGAUAAAAAACCAAUACAUGCUUUUAAAGUAUGAAUGUUGGUGAUUUACAAUAACUUAGCAAAUCGCAUAGUGCAUACAGGCGAUAAAUCAUUCAAGUUUCUGACCUAUCAGCUUUCGACGGUAUGGUAUUGGCUUACCGUGGCAGUAACGGUUAACGGGGGAUUAGGGUUCGAUUCCGGAGAGGGAGCCUGAGAAACGGCUACCACAUCUAAGGAAGGCAGCAGGCGCGCAAAUUACCCAAUUCUAACAGCAUAAGAGAGGUAGUGACAAGAAAUAACAAUACAAGGCAGUUAAAAUGCUUUGUAAUUGGAAUGAUAGAAAUUUAAACACUUUUUAAAGUAUCAAUUGGAGGGCAAGUCUGGUGCCAGCAGCCGCGGUAAUUCCAGCUCCAAUAGCGUAUAUUAAAAUUGUUGCAGUUAAAAAGCUCGUAGUUGAAUUUCUGCUAUAAAUAACCAGUCUGCUUUUAAUAGAAGUAGUACCUUGGUCUGUUUUUAGCAAUAAUGUCCUUUGAAAUGUUUUUUACUUUAUUGUAAUAAAUUAUAUUCAGGAUUUUUACUUUGAGAAAAUUAGAGUGUUUCUAGCAGGCUAACGCUUUGAAUACUGCAGC
rnacentral:rRNA from 1 species